CCUACGGGAGGCAGCAGUGAGGAAUAUUGGUCAAUGGACGAGAGUCUGAACCAGCCAUGUAGCGUGAAGGAUGACUGCCCUAUGGGUUGUAAACUUCUUUUAUAUGGGAAUAAAAUGUUCCACGUGUGGGAUUUUGUAUGUACCAUAUGAAUAAGGAUCGGCUAACUCCGUGCCAGCAGCCGCGGUAAUACGGAGGAUCCGAGCGUUAUCCGGAUUUAUUGGGUUUAAAGGGAGCGUAGGUGGAUUGUUAAGUCAGUUGUGAAAGUUUGCGGCUCAACCGUAAAAUUGCAGUUGAUACUGGCAGUCUAGAGUACAGUAGAGGUGGGAGGAAUUCGUGGUGUAGCGGUGAAAUGCUUAGAUAUCACGCAGAACUCCGAUUGCGAAGGCAGCUCACUGGACUGCAACUGACACUGAGGCUCGAAAGUGUGGGUAUCAAACAGGAUUAGAUACCCGGGUAGUC
rnacentral:rRNA from 1 species